rnacentral:rRNA from 1 species
AUUAUGAAAGCAAAAAAUUAUGGCGGUAUUUUAAGCUUUUCAGAGGAAUUUGCUCUUUAAUGGAUAAAACACCUAAAUCUUACUUAAAUUUGUUAAUUCAAUUUGUAUACCACUAUAAAAACAAUUUAUAACUUUAAUUGUUGGUAUUUAUUAAAUUAAAAUAUAUUAAGUCAAGGUGCAGUAAAAAUUUAAGGAUGAAGUGAAUUACAUUACUUUUUAGAGAAAUAAAUUUAAAAUAAUAUUUAGGAUUUGAAAGUAAAAUUAAAAUAUAAUGUUAAUUUGAAUUAAGCUCUAAAAUAUGUACACAUCGCC